GAGAUGUUUUCUGCUGUUGCAGUGUAUGGUUUCGAAUACCUUCGGAAACCUUGAACAGGGUGAAAGGGAUCUAAACCGCUCUUUAAUUCGUUCCCAGGAGAGCCACUGUAGGGAGCACGAGCCAACGACGGAACUCGCAAGUUGGUCAGGUAGUUGACCGUGCGAUAGACAUGAUGCAAUACAACUGCCCCUCAUUCAGCCGAAAUGAUUCGCCUUCAUUCCGAACUAGAUUAUGCCGAUCAACACCACAUUCUGCUUUCCCCAAAUACAUUUACUGGCAGGGCCUUCGUCUUUUAGAAAUACUCUCCCAAAAGCAGUUUGUAAAACGGUUGUCCUCCUGGAAAAGGCUCUGUCUUCAAAGAAUACCUGUGGCCUAUGAUCAGAUAAUCUGUUUUGCUGGAGUCGGUUUCCUAUCAGACGGCGACGAACAACCUUUUCGUGGCUCAAUAGUGAUUGAAAUUACUGGCAAAAUGUUACCAGGUGGCAUCGAAUUUGUUAAACUUUAUAACGAGAAAGUCACCUCACCCCUCGUAACUGUUGGCUAUAAUUGGGACGUUAACCAUGUCAAAACCUGUUUGGUUAAGGUCACGUGUAUGUCUGGUAGGCAGGAAAAGUUUGAGGGCACCAGACCAAGACAAGCGCAGUGACAAUCCCAAUGGAUUCAAAGCUCUCUCAGAGUGGCAAAUAACCACCACUGGAGAGGUAGAGGCCAACCCCUUGAAGCCCAACAGUUUGAGUGAUAGUUUUACAAUAAGGUAAUUACCCUACUUCAGUUUGCUAGUACAGCUUCAACAUGAACAUGUUAUCUGUUUUCUGUGUUACAUACAUACAUACUUUACUUGAUAAAGCAGGUUGUAAAAUGGCAGCAAAAUGCUGAUGUGGACCUGCUAUAUAACAGCAUAAAAGUAAAAAAAAAUAUGUAAAAAGUAAAUCUAAACCACAACGCAGACACAGGAUUGGGCUUCUGGCAGUCUUUAUUGCAAAGUGUUACUGACAAACAUAUAACCUUUAUUGACUUAUACAAUUAAAAUCCUUUAAAAUACAAUAGAAAUCAACUAGGUAAACUCACCACAAUAACACCAAAAAAAAAAAGACAAAAAAACUAAAACACUAGGCUGUUCAGGAAGUGGGUGGGUGGGCAAAUAAUAAUAAUAAGGGAAUUAUUCCCUAUAGAUGCUAUAUAUUAACUGCUUGGAACGCUGUAGCAAUGCCUAUCAAACAGUCCAGGAAAAGUAGUCAGUAAUACCUAAGUACCCCAAUGGUGUUGCAACUUCAGGUAACUGAAUGGUUCUUAAAGUCCUAUGACUAUCAGCAUAUGAGAAAGUCAUAUUCAUAUGACUGUACAGUAUUGCUUAAGCUUGAAUAAACUAGAAGCCAGUCUCCA